rnacentral:lncRNA from 1 species
GGAAAACCAACAGGACCCUAGAAUGACGUUUUGAAAGAAAAAGAAAUAAAUGAAAAAUAAAUUUUUAUAAAAUUAUGACAUUCUGGAGGUGAAGAGGUUAAAGUCAUGACAAAACCUGCUGAGAAUAUUUCUCUUCUCCCGCCAAAAAAUUUCUAAAGAAUUAAUUCAAUUGAGAAUGCUUACGAAUAUAUGAAAUGAUGAAAAGUCAGAUUUACCAUCUAUGUUCCAGAGUCUCAGGAUUUCAAAUCUUUCUAAGAAAAGCUCCAAGUCUAUUUUUACUCAGUUCUGGCCUGCCAGAAUUAAAGCAGAUAUUAAAUAAUGAAGAAAAUGAAGACCAGAGACAUGAAGGAAACAUAGACUUCUUCAUUGUGAAAAGUUGGCCAGAAGGAAAAAUAUCAUCAAAGCCAUGGAUCCAUUAAUGAUAUUGAUUAUACCUGAGCUCCAGGAAGACCUCUUUCCCCUGGGAAACCACGUAAUCCUGCUGGUCCAUCUUUCCCUGAGAUACCUUGAGGACCUGGAUCACCCUAAAGAAUAUAAUAAACAUCGUCAAGACAGAUUAAUUUCUACACAUCUUUCUACAAACAAAAUUGUGAUUACCUCUAAACUACUAAAAGAAAGAAAUCUGUGAAGGCUGAGAUAUUUUCAUGAAAGAUGUCUGAGAAAAUUUAUGAAUGGUGAGGAACUUCACCUGGACUCAUAGAAACAGAUACUUUGAAAAGGAGGAGAAGAUGGAAGGGCUUUCUAGGAGAGGAAACAGCUUGGGAAAGGAUUCAUUUCUUCUCAGUACAUAAAUUUCGGAGCUAUUGAUGACAGCACAAAAAACAAAACAAAGAAACAGCAACAAAAACUAGCUUGGAAGAGGAAGGUCAAUGCGAGGGUUGUUACGGUGAAAUCCCAGAGCCACCGUUUCGUUUUCCA